UACGUAGGGACCAAGCGUUGUUCGGAUUUACUGGGCGUAAAGGGCGCGUAGGCGGCGUGUUAAGUCAGCUGUGAAAUCUCCAAGCUUAACUUGGAACGGUCAGCUGAUACUGAUGUGCUAGAGUGCAGAAGGGGCAAUCGGAAUUCUUGGUGUAGCGGUGAAAUGCGUAGAUAUCAAGAGGAACACCUGAGGUGAAGACGGGUUGCUGGGCUGACACUGACGCUGAGGCGCGAAAGCCAGGGGAGCAAACGGG
rnacentral:rRNA from 1 species